rnacentral:rRNA from 1 species
AGUGCCGUUGAUACUGUGAGGCUAGGAUUUGGUUGCUGUGGGUGGAAUGUGUGGUGUAGCGGUGAAAUGCUUAAAGAUCACACAGAAUAUCGAUUGCGAAGGCAGCUCACAAAGCCAAGAUUGACGCUGAGGCACGAAAGCGUGGGGAUCGAACAGGAUUAGAUACCCUGGUAGUCCACGCCGUAAACGAUGAUCACUCGCUGUUGGCGAUACACAGUCAGCGGCUAAGCAAAAGCAUUAAGUGAUCCACCUGGGGAGUACGGCCGCAAGGCUGAAACUCAAAGGAAUUGACGGGGGCCCGCACAAGCGGAGGAACAUGUGGUUUAAUUCGAUGAUACGCGAGGAACCUUACCUGGGCUUAAAUGUAGAGUGCAUUGGUGAGAAAUCAUCAUUUUCUUCGGAACUCUCUGCAAGGUGCUGCAUGGUUGUCGUCAGCUCGUGCCGUGAGGUGUCGGGUUAAGUCCCAUAACGAGCGCAACUCUUAUCGUUAGUUGCCAGCGGGUACUGCCGGAGGACUCUAGCGAAACUGCCGGUGUAACCGAGAGGAAGGUGGAGGAUGACGUCAAAUCAGCACGGUCCUUAUGGUCCAGGACCUACACACGUGAUUACAAUGGGCCGGUACAGGAGGGCCAUCUUACGUGGAGACAGGAUGACGAAAUCUCGGAAGGCCGGUCCUCAGUUCAGAAUCGGAGUCUGGCAACCUCCGA